rnacentral:rRNA from 1 species
UACAGAGGUCUCAAGCGUUGUUCGGACUCAUUGGGCGUAAAGGGUGCGUAGGCGGCGCGGUAAGUCGGGUGUGAAAUCUCGGAGCUUAACUCCGAAACUGCAUUCGAUACUGCCGUGCUUGAGGACUGGAGAGGAGACUGGAAUUUACGGUGUAGCGGUGAAAUGCGUAGAUAUCGUAAGGAAGACCAGUGGCGAAGGCGGGUCUCUGGACAGUUCCUGACGCUGAGGCACGAAGGUCAGGGGAGCAAACGGGG